rnacentral:ncRNA from 1 species
UCAUGAGUUGCCGUCCCGAGGCUCCGGCUGGGCGGUGCGCCAACCCCGCGUUCACGGGUGGCCCGGAUGACGAAGCGGCCCGGUACCGGCCGGUACUUGGCAAGAGCG